UCUAAAUAAGUGAUUAUUCUGCAGGUUUCAUAAUUUUAGACAAUGCUUUGAACCCAGCGGCUCAACUAGUUUUGAUUUGCUGACCCACAGAAAAAGAAGACAAUGCUUUGCAAUAAAAUUCUAGUCAUUAGUAAAUGGACUAAAAAUAUUACUGGUUUCGUCCAUCUUAAGUCAACAAAAAAAAAAAAAAUAAUACUAGAUAAUACUAAGUCUCGUACAAAUGUCGUGGUAGAUCGCAAAACCAUGGAAGGAUAAGCGGGAGGAUCCAAAUGGCCAUACCAAUGGCCAAUGACCAAUGGUUUACCAAAGAGGAAGUGAAAUCGACGUAGAUGCUACACGAUUGCUGAUAAAAAAUCAAUUUGAAAGGAAUAUGGGACCAUAUUUAGCAAACUGGGGACGCUCUGAACGAAAUAUUGUUUCAAUGCUGAUUCCAUGUUCAGCUGGCAUAGAAAUAAACACGCGCAUGAAAACAACGCCUUAAUUUUGUCACUCGUUUAUCACACUACCCAUGUAAUGCCAGGGCAACUCAAAUACAAACACGUACGUCGCCUGAAUUUAGACGGCUACGAAAUGGCGUCUUACUUGUUCCGUUUAUUAGAAAUGAAGUAUCCGGCACAUUUAAAUGCGAUUACUUUUACAUGCAACGAAAGUACCUUCCACAAUCAUAACUUUAUAGUUUGUAAU